GUUGUGGCUCAGUAGUUGAGUGCUCACCUAGCAUGCAUGAGGUACUGGGUUCGAUCCUCAGUGCCACA
rnacentral:tRNA from 1 species